CCGCAGUCUGCAGCAGGGAGCCAGCCGCAUGUCAUCAACGCCCGCCGAUCAUCGCCCGCUGCUGUCGCCAAUGGACUCUACAUCAUUUUUGUUUCUCAAGAAAUCAAGAGACUAUUCAGUGAAUUUCCUAUUUAAAUAUAAAGGUCAUCUCAUCUGACUACAUAAUACAAGAGAGGUUGGCAGAUACUGUUUGGGUAAAUUCACACUAUUCUCAGCAGAUAUAAACUGUCGUUUGUUGUAGAUUACUGGACCAGGUUAAAUUUAAGGUGAAGCUGCAUCAAAAUAUCCAGCCACCUCAGCACAGAACACAUGCAGAGGAUUCGUGACACAGCAGAAAAAUUGGAUGCAUGUGGACUUAAAGUUCAUACCUUGUGAUUU